rnacentral:rRNA from 1 species
ACGAACGCUGGCGGCGUGCUUAACCCCUGCAAGUCGAACGUGAUUUUUGUGGAAAUUCUUUCGGGAAUGGAAAUGAAAUGAAAGUGGCGAACGGGUGAGUAACACGUGAGCAACCUACCUUACACAGGGGGAUAGCCGUUGGAAACGACGAUUAAUACCGCAUGAGACCACAGAAUCGCAUGAUAUAGGGGUCAAAGAUUUAUCGGUGUAAGAAGGGCUCGCGUCUGAUUAGCUAGUUGGAAGGGUAAAGGCCUACCAAGGCGACGAUCAGUAGCCGGUCUGAGAGGAUGAACGGCCACAUUGGAACUGAGACACGGUCCAAACUCCUACGGGAGGCAGCAGUGGGGAAUAUUGCACAAUGGGGGGAACCCUGAUGCAGCGACGCCGCGUGAGCGAAGAAGGUUUUCGAAUCGUAAAGCUCUGUCCUAUGAGAAGAUAAUGACGGUAUCAUAGGAGGAAGCCCCGGCUAAAUACGUG